rnacentral:rRNA from 1 species
UACGUAGGGUGCAAGCGUUAAUCGGAAUUACUGGGCGUAAAGCGUGCGCAGGCGGUUAUGUAAGACAGGAUGUGAAAUGCCCGGGCUUAACCUGGGAACUGCAUUUGUGACUGCAUGGCUAGAGUUUGGCAGAGGGGGGUAGAAUUCCACGUGUAGCAGUGAAAUGCGUAGAUAUGUGGAGGAACACCGAUGGCGAAGGCAGCCCCCUGGGUCAAGACUGGACGCUCAUGCACGAA